rnacentral:rRNA from 1 species
AUUAGAUAGUAGGCGGGGUAACGGCCCACCUAGUCAACGAUCAUUAGGGGUUCUGAGAGGAAGGUCCCCCACAUUGGUACUGAGACACGGACCAAACUCCUACGGGAGGCAGCAGUGAGGAAUAUUGGUCAAUGGGCGAGAGCCUGAACCAGCCAAGUCGCGUGAAGGAAGAAGGAUCUAUGGUUCGUAAACUUCUUUUUUAGGGGAAUAAAGUGCGGUACGUGUACCGUUUUGUAUGUACCCUACGAAUAAGGAUCGGCUAACUCCGUGCCAGCAGCCGCGGUAAUACGGAGGAUCCGAGCGUUAUCCGGAUUUAUUGGGUUUAAAGGGUGCGUAGGCGGAAGAAUAAGUCAGUGGUGAAAGUUUGCAGCUCAACUGUAAAAUUGCCAUUGAAACUGUUUUUCUUGAGUGUAAAUGAGGUAGGCGGAAUGUGUUGUGUAGCGGUGAAAUGCUUAGAUAUGACACAGAACACCGAUUGCGAAGGCAGCUUACUAAGAUACAACUGACGCUGAGGCACGAAAGCGUGGGGAUCGAACAGGAUUAGAUACCCUGGUAGUCCACGCAGUAAAC